UGCUCCUUAUAUAGAAACAAGUUAUCCAGUGUGAUGAGAAAGAUCAAUCAGGGGCAAGUGAAGUUUCAUUGUUGGUUGUAUAUGAUACUGUGACAAUUAUAUUAUAUCUUUCCAUUAUUAGUAGAAGUUACAAGCUCACUGCAACACCUGGCUAGGUGGUCUUAGUAUGUCUUGUAUAAAUGCAUAUUUUGCUUUGUUGAGACUAAUGUUGUUAUCGUGUUCUUUGUGAAAUAAUUCCAACAAUCCAACUCUAUAUAGUCAUAGUUUAUUCAUUUCUCUGUAGAAGUGUAUAUCCUUAAUUUUCUUCUUUUACUGUCUU
rnacentral:misc_RNA from 1 species